rnacentral:piRNA from 1 species
UCCCAAGGGCCUUCACUGACUAGGACAUGU